CGGCAGAGGGGAGGAGUGGGAGUAGACGUGACAAGAAGUUGAUCGUAAAGAUUUGGUUGAUUCCAUCUAUCAAACAGGUAAGAUAGAACUUUUGGAGGUAACAGACAAUGGUGAUGAGACAUUCAGUGGCCUACUCCCCUUCUAUGGUGGGUCCUCACUCGAGUGGUCAAAUAUGCCAAUGAAGAGGCAUUCUCUAGUCCAGUUGUGUUGCCUACUAAUGAUGCCAACAAGUUGCACGUGUCUGGAUCAGGCUUGGAGUCAGGAAUUUGUGCCCACAUUCCUCAGACCUUCACCAUUGACUGUAGCAAGACUGGAGAGGCCCCAAAAUCUGUGGCUGUCAUGACACCUAGUGGUAAUAUAGAGCUUGCAAAGGUGACAAAGAAUGGAUGGGACAUAUUUAGUGUGCUACUCCCCUUCCAUGGAUUCUCUGGUGGGAAGAUGAAGAUGAGUUUCAUAGUCUCUAAAACUUCCAAGUUUGUGUGGGCCAGGCUUGCAGUCAGGAAUUUGUGCAAUGUUCCCUCCGAUAUUCACAAUUGACUGGAGAGACCCCAGUCUGACUGUUAUGACACCUAGUGGUGAGCUUGUGGCGGUAACAUACAAUGGGGAUGGGACAUACUCUGUAGCCUACUCCCCUUCUAUGGAGGAUUCUCACUCUCUGGUUGUCAAGUAUGAGGAUGAGUUUUGCAGGUAAAAUGGAGAUGAAACCUACUCACUGGCCUACUUCCCUUCCAUGAAGGAUCCUCACUGGUUGUCAAAUACGGUGACGAAGAUGAGUUCUCCAGGUGCAUCCCGAAAGAGGUGGGAGAGCAUCUGGUCGACGUGAUGAAAGAUGGACAGCAUGUGGCCAGCAGUCCCAUCCCUCACCAUCACCCAGUUAGAGAUUUCAGACCCCAGAAGGGUCAAGUUCUUUGGACCAGGGCUCGUGACGGGGAGCGUACCCUUUGAGAUCUCAGACUUUGUGAAUAUACAAGAUGCAGAGUCACAAAUCUCCCCCUGAAACAAAAACAUAUCACCAUGUGAAUAUUUUCAGAAAUUCGACUAAGACUUUGUGGCUGAACAAUUUAUCAGCCUCUGGGAGUCUGACUCUGGCCAUCGAGGGUCCCAGUACUGUGUAGGUCCAGACGGCGGAUGGUUUCUGUGUUGUCUCCUUCUGCCCCACGGAGCCUGGGGCCUACACCCUCUCAGACAAAUUCACAGAAGAACAUAUGCCAGGUAGCUACAUUAUUUCUGUGAACAAAUGUUAGUAAAUAGAACAGUUUGAACAGAGAAGCUGUAUUUGUAUUCAAACCGUAUGUAAUGUACACUACAUGACCAAAAAUAUGUGGACACCUGCUCAUCGAGCCUCCACAGGCUAUCGACGAGAUGUUGGAACAUUGCUACGAGGGCUUCCAUUCAGCCACGAGCAUUAGUGAGAUCGGGCACUGAUGUUGGAUGAUUAGGCCUGGCUCCAAUUCAUCACAAAGGUGUUUGAUGGGGUUGAGGUCAGGGCUCUGUGCAGGCCAGUCAAGUUCUUCCACACCGAUCUCAACAAACCAUUUCUGUAUGGACCUCGCUUUAUGCAUGGGGGCAGAGUCAUGCUGAAACAGGAAAGGGGCUUUCCCAAACUGUUUCCACAAAGUUGGAAGCACAAAAUCAUCUAGAAUGUCAUUGAAUACUGUAGCAUUAAUAUUUACCUUCACUGGAACUAAGGGGCCUAGCCCGAACCAUGAAAAACAUUGUUCCAUAUUCCAAUGGCGGGGAGCUUUACACCACUCCAGCCGACGCUUGGCAUUGCGUAGGGUGAUCUUAGGCUUGUGUGUGGCUGCUUAGCCAUUUAAACCCAUUUCAUGAAGUUCCCGAUGAACAGUUGUGCUGAACUGACUUGUUGGAAAGGUGGCAUCCUAUGACGGUGCCGCUUAAAGUCACUGAGCUCUUCAGUAAGGCCAUUCUACUGCCAAUGUUUGUCUGAAAUAGCCGAUUCCACUCAUUUGAAGGCGUGUCAACAUACUUUUGUGUAUGUCUUAUGUAUUGUCCAGGGAGUCCAUUUACAGCGGCUAUGUCAGAGAAAGCAAAACCCACUUCCAGGGAUCUGCAACUAUCGCCAGUGUCAGCAACGUGUAUGGGAUUAACCUAAUCCAAUAGAUGGCGAGCGUGCUCACAGUAAAUGUUCAUAUUGCAAAUGCACAUCAAGUCAAGACCCAAGGGUCAAAUUUGGAACAUUUUACUUUUUUUUCCAAAACGUAUCACCCCCUUAACGUGGUUUCUGGACCGUUUUUUGAAAUUAGUAUUAUUUUUGUCAACUAUACAUGUAUAAGAACUGUAUGAACAUACUUUUGUCAUUUUACUGUCAUAUUGUUUUUACUUGUCAUCGCUAGUAAGGCAUAUGUUUUGUCCAUUUGCAAUAUGAUUUCAUAGGAAGUCAAAAAUCAGUGAAUCAUUGCCAAAUGCGAUAAAUGUCCAAAUGCAAUAUGAAAGUAUUGAAAAUGCCAAAUCAGGAUGUUAUGUCCAUUUUCCAUGUACGAUCAUAGUAAGUCUGUUUCCAAACCCAAAGUCAGUGAACCAUGUUCAAAUGGCAUUUAUACUGCCCAAAUGAUAUUUAGCACUGUUAAUUCAUGAAUCAACCAAGAUGGUCUAUUUGUCAUGGGAGAAGUGGAACUCUGUUUUAUUUUAUGAUUUUUUUUUUUUAAACGUCCAAAAUGACCAGGAGUGUCCCCUAUUGGAUGGGCACGGGUGGCCAUCCCUACCCAACCGUAGACUCCUUGCAUUAAAGGCAUUAAAACAUUUUUUAAAUUUUUUUUUAUGUGCUCCUGGCUUUCGAUAGAUGUGAGACACUUGUAUUUUCAUGAAUGUUUAAUGACUAUUUAUGUAGCGAUCACCGUAUGUUGUGGAAUUUCAGCCCGCUUCCGGAUUCUGUGCUCAGAGAGGGUUAAUGCCACGUGGUCAAGGUUAGGCUUGCACAGAUCAAGAAGACCAGGAACGUUCCUUAGGUCAAAUUGUGCUUCUAACCCUAAAGGUUCUCCCGCUGUCACCCAAAAACACCUGAAAUGUAGGGCCAGGCUUCUUUUUGGGCCUACUUUUUUGCACGGUCGCUGCGCUCAGACUGAAC